rnacentral:rRNA from 1 species
GAGGCUGAAAAGCGUAGUCGAUGGGAAACAGGUUAAUAUUCCUGUACUUCUGGUUACUGCGAUGGAGGGACGGAGAAGGCUAGGCCAGCUUGGCGUUGGUUGUCCAAGUUUAAGGUGGUAGGCUGAAGUCUUAGGUAAAUCCGGGGUUUCAAGGCCGAGAGCUGAUGACGAGUCGUCUUUUAGAUGACGAAGUGGUUGAUGCCAUGCUUCCAAGAAAAGCUUCUAAGCUUCAGGUAACCAGGAACCGUACCCCAA